GAGGGUGGAGGGGGAGAAAAAUGAUACAGCACCGACAAAAUGAAGGUGGAACCCGGGGGGGGGGGGGGGAGAGAGAAUUCCCCAGGUGCUGGUAGAUUUUUCUCAAUGUUGUUAUUGGUAUAUUUUCACAAAAUAGAAUUUGUGGCUUUGGAGAUUACAAACUUGGUUCGGGGGUUACCAGCUCGUGCCACAUUCAACCUGAAAUCUAAAUUAAGCGAGGUGCAAUGCAGCAUUGGCUGCUAGGUGCCGUCCACCAAAGUGAGAAGCACAGAGACUUGCAUCGACCAGCAUGCCUACCAGGGGGAGGAGAAGGUGUGUGGGUCUGCUGGCCCUCCCCUCCUCUCUGCUCCUUGGCAGCACAGGCUUGCACGUGGGCUUCUGGCAUGUUACUGCGGAUGACACUUGCACAAAACCAUUCAUGGUCUUCUCUUUCAUCUCCCUGAUACACCUCAAGGCUGUCAGACAGAUCAAGGAGAGGGACAGUACACACUUCUUUGCUUGUAACCACAGUUUCUAACUGAAGUUGAGGAUUCCAGUAUAAAAGGCUCGCUUCUAAUGUGUUCCUUGGGAUUCUCGCUACUGAGUUCUGCAUGGUGUCAAGACAUGCUGCUCUGUGCUGGAUUGACACGUCUUCCUGAUCCGUCUGUUGUUUCUCAUGUGGUAACAAACCUGGUCACAUCUUCAAGAGAAGUGUAGUUUUGUAUUCCACAGCAGAGCUAAUAAUAGUAGCUUCCUUACAGUAUUUGCAAUUGCAGACCUAAUUCAAAAGGAGCACGGAAGUCUCCUGAGCAGAGACAAAUGAAGAGGUUGAUCCCCUCCCUCCCUCCCUCCCUCUCGUAAUGUCAAAUACAUCUCAUGGACAGCAUCAAAACUUCCAUAUGGCCUAGAAAGUUGGGCUUUGGAACAUGUUGAAGAGAAUCUAACUAGCAGAAAAAACCAACAGUAGGAUGUUGGUGCACUUGUUCCCGGGGUCAGUGCCAGACUCUUUUGUGCCCUAGGCAAACACAUUGACACUCUACACUCUGCGCCCCCCUGAGGUCUGAGGUCUCCACUCUGCUGCCUAGUUGGCCUAACGGUAGCAACGGCCCUGCUUGUUCCUCACAAGGCGGACACAGAACUGUAAGGCACUUGCAUCUAGACCUGAAACUUCCUGAAGGUGCCUCCGAUUAGAACACUCUUUGAAAGUGAAGAUCCUUUCGACAUGUAAUCCUGAACCUGAGACAAGGAAACCCUCCAACAGAGGCCAGGCUGCUUGCUUCUUGCCAGUGAUGAUGAGAACUUGCAGCAUCUCUCUGUGUGAACAAGCCAAAGGUCUGAGGACUGCAAAGCAGAAGAAAGAAAGAAAGGGUGGAGGUCAGGAACCAUUGAGUAGAGGGCCUUCCUCCACCCAGCCCAGGACAUUCCCCAACACUUGCUGGCUUGCCAUGAUGCUCUGCUAUAGAUGAGCUUCUGUGGGCUGGAUCACCAGCCCUCCUCACACGAUGAAAUCUAAUACUUCUUCCUCCAGCGAAAUGAAGCCAGCUCUGCCAAUUAAUCUAAUAGCAGCAGUCCUGCACGUGGCCAUGUCCAGAGUCAACCAGCUGGACCCAGGGACGCAAGUAUAUUCUUAUUGAGCUUUUUUUCUCCUGCGCCACAAACUCCGGCUGCUUCCACUCCCGGGCUACUUGUCCCAUUUGAGUCCACUUCAGAAUCUUUUCUAUGUAAGGAUGCCACAGUUUUGCUUUGUCAUAAUGUGUUCUAUGAAGAAGGGAGAAUUCAGUGUCAACUGAAAAUCUCCUGGUUGGCCCCAACUGGAACCCGAAGCGAAGCCCUGUAGUGGUAACCAGUUCAGAAGAUAGUGUUCCAUAAUUCCAUCAUUGGUUUCAUUCAGAAAGACUUGCAUGAUGCUUUCUUCUCAAGUCAAGUCCCAUGGUUGUCUUUUUCUAGCGUUACAUGGCAAGCUAAAGAGUUUGGAUAUUAUUCUGUAGGAAAUGUAACUAAACUGGUUCAAGGUGUUUGAACUGGUUAGCAAAAGACUUUGGAAAGUGAAUAUUUGACCCCACACUGAACGGGAGAGUUCCAAAAGAAUGACCAAGUUAGAAAUGAUGUGACUCCCUGCACAGAACGAGAACAUUGAGGCGCUCCAGAGGAUGAUCAGGGCUUUGCUGGAGGAGGCCCCCUCUGUCUGGAACUUAAUCAGCAUCUUGAAGGUUGCGAAGAGUCUGGCUUUGCUGUAGGCAGAUCUUUAAGUCCUCCCCCACCAGUGACUCCAACAAGGGCAAGCCCCCCAGAGGGAGGUUCUUUAAAUGGAAACACCGCGUUGAGCCUACUCCAGCACCACCCCCAACUCCCACAGGGGCUCCCUGGAAGUAUCCGGAGUCACCAUCGAUGAGUAGGUGCCCCAGUUGGGACUGGGGCCGACUCUUUGGGGAAGAUCUGACUACUGGGAUCUGACUACUGGAGUGGAGAAAAUGGAAAGAGGUCAGGUCAUCCUCUGCUGGACUGAAUUCUUGACGUCCAUUAUUGACUGUAUUAAGGAUGCCAAGUCCUGUGAAAGUGAGAUGCUGUCGUAUGAAAAAGACAAGGCUGUGGACGCCGUACUAGAGAGAGCUCCACAGUACAUCAACUCGGAGAAGCCCCGGCUGCAGACUCUGGGCCGAGAAGCCUACAUUGAUGCUCUGGCUCACAUGGCCAGACUGCCCAAUGUGGAACUGUCCACAUGGAAGGUUUUCUUUCGCAAGGAAGAAGAGUUGGCUCAUCAUGACAUCCAGAGCACCAUCAAAGGAGAAAAUGGCAUCCUUCAAGAAGAUGCUCAGGGGGCUGCUGGAGGAGGCCACCUCUAUCCAGAACAUAAUUGGCAUCUUGAAGGAGCUCCACACGUACAUCAACUCAGAGGAGUCCUGGCUGCAGGCUCUGGGCCAAGAAGCCUACAGAUACGCUCUGGCUCACGUGGCCAGACUGCCCAAUGUGGAAGUAAGUACCCUGCUGUGGACAUGGCUUCAGCAUCCUCUGUUUCAGCAUCCUCUGCUUCAUCUUCUGCUUCAGCAUCCUCUGUGGGACCCCUUGUCAGGUUCCAGGUUCAGAAGAAGACCUCCCAGUGGUCUCUGGUCACACGGGGGCUGCCUGGCAGCACACUUGCUGGAGAGAGGCUGUUUCCAGUGGGGCUCACCGAAUGCCCCUGGGGACAGCAGCAGGGGCAGGAGGAACAGAAGAGAGCUGGGUCCGCCCAGUGUGUCUUCCGGCUGCCCAGUGCCCAGAAGAGCCACACUAGAUCUUUGGGAAUCCUCAACUUUGUAUCCAACUAGAUCAUCUUCAGUUCUUAACUGCUUUGGAUAUGGUGUCACAUUGACAUGGGGGGGGGAGUCCAUCUCUAUUUCUGCAGCUGGCCACAUGGAAGGUUCUGUUUCACAAGGAAGAGGAGUUGGCUCAUCAUGACAUCCAGAGCACCAUCAAAGAUGGCCUCAUCUUAGAGGAUUUCCAUGAAAAGGAGGAGUUUGUCGCAUCCCACAUUUCCUUCCUCUUCUUUUUAAUGCUAGCAGCCUAAAGCUAGGAGAAUAUCUGCCUGGAGGAAUUACAUGUUUUUAAAAAUAUGUAUCAUACAUAUUACAUGAUUGUUUUUAACAAUGGCUUUUAAAUGGUUUUGUAUUUUAUUUUGUAUUUUCUUUACCCCUCCCCCUUUUUGAUCUGUUACGAUUGUCAGGAUCUCACUGUUAGGAUCUCCCCUGAUGGCGGCAACUCAAAAUGCACGUACUCUGUGCUCCCUCUGUGCUCCCUGUGGACUUCACUGCUUUUUGCACUGUUGGACAGAACCUGGAAAGUACUAUCCGUGGUAUAUGAGGAUGACUGGAAAUAACCUCUGAGGUCAUUUCAUAACACUCACGGUCUAAUUUUUUUGGUAUGUCCAUGUAUAACCUUCUUCUUCGCAUUUUGUUUCCCCCCCACCACACACACAAGCUUUCCUUCUUAGUGGUGGCACUAUCUAAGAACACAUUGGCUUAAAAAGUUGUGCCAUCUCCAGGUUCUAGCAACUCUGCUGAGACCUUCCACCACAGAUCUCUUAGUGUUGCAGGUAAGAGAUCUGUUACUGUGGUGACUGUUGCACUCUUUAUCUGCAUUGCUCUGUGGUCAGAUCCCGUCUGAAGAGUUCCUGGGAAAUGCACUAGAGACCUUGGAACCUCUCAGUAGUUUUAACCAUACAUUUAUGUUCUUA